rnacentral:rRNA from 1 species
CUUAAAAUUUAAUUAAAUUAAAAAUUUCACUUAAUAAUUUAAUAUUUAUUUUAAUUAAUAUUUUAUUUAUUAAAUACUGAAAUAAUUUAAUUUAAUUUUUGUAUAACCGCAACUGCUGGCACAAAAUUAGUUAUUAAUUUUUAUAUUACUAAAUCUUAAUUUCUUAAAUUUUUAAUUUUAAUUACUACAAUUCUUAUAAUUAUUAUUAAAAUAAUUAAAAUUUAAUACUAAAAUUUAUAUGUAAAAUAAAUUUAUAAUAAAUUAUAAAAAACAUAAAAAUUUUAUU